rnacentral:rRNA from 1 species
UACAGAGGUCCCAAGCGUUGUUCGGAUUCAUUGGGCGUAAAGGGUGUGUAGGUGGCGCCGUAAGUCGGGUGUGAAAUCUCGGGGCUUAACUCCGAAACUGCAUUCGAUACUGCGGUGCUUGAGGACUGGAGAAGAGACUGGAAUUCAUGGUGUAGCAGUGAAAUGCGUAGAGAUCAUGAGGAAGACCAGUGGCGAAGGCGGGUCUCUGGACAGUUCCUGACACUGAGACACGAAGGCCAGGGGAGCAAACGGG